GGAGCAGAAUCCACCUAAGCAGCAUGAGGCUUGCCCGGACCCCGGCCCAAAGGUAUUUAUCAGCUUCACCCCUCAAGGAAUUCGCCUGGGAAGGGGAUGUUUGCAUAGCAGAGCUUUGCAAAACCUUUUCUCCGGAGUGAUUUCUGAAGGGGGAAGAAAACUCGGGCCCAGGCUGCAAGGGAUCAUCACAGCGAGCUUCGCGCCGGAGGGCAUCAAAAUAAAGGGUAUGAAAAGUCAUGGGAUGCUCACCGCACCCUCGCUUCUCCCCGCAGGACAGGAAGGUUCACGCAAGUCACUGAGCAAAGCCAGAUUUUGGAUGCUGGCAGCGGCUCAGGGUCUGGCUGCCUAGCUACAGUCUAAAAUUAGAGCACCUAAAAAUUAACUGUAAGGCUAAAGAACUUUGGUCCCUGUGCCGAAUGAGCACUGGAGAGUUAGAGAUAGACAGCAAACCGGCUCUGCUGGUAACGCCUUGGGACGGGGAGGCUGCUUCCAGAACCACAUCAGGCACACAAGCAAUGGGGAGGAUUGGUGCUUUUUGCAACUUUGUUUGCUGCUCUUAUUAAGAAGGACGUGGAGGCAUCACAUUAGGCAUCACAGAGUCACAGAAUGGCCUGGGUUGGAAGGGACCUCAAGGAUGAUGAAGCUCCAACCCCCCCACUGCAGGCAGGGCCACCAACCUCCACAUUUCAGACCAGCCCAGGCUGCCCAGGGCCCCAUCCAACCUGGCCUUCAACACCUCCAUGGAUGGAGGGGGCAGGUGUGGCCAUCUGGUUAUAAAUACAGUGGGGUACAAUAGUGUUUCUCAUUGCUGAAAGAUGGGAGAGCUCCACACUGAGGGCAGCGGUGCUCCUCCUCAUCUUCCUGCCUCCACCGUGUGAUUCAGCACCAGGAGAAUCCCUGAUGAAAGCUUCUUAUUCCCUCUGUCCCCGGGGCUCGUCCCUGUAAUGCUAUUAGCCAAGGCUGCCUGCCCCACACUGACCUCCUUGCCAGCCCCCCAGGGCUUGCCAUUGCUCUGGCCAAGACAGCUCCAUCCUCGAAUCCUUCGUGGGAUCCAUCAUCCCAAAAUAAUGAGAAAAAAAUGGGUUAGUAAGAAGGAGAAAUCGACCCUAUGACCAGAACGUACAUGGACAUGGCCAAGAGCCACCCCUUGGGAUUCGCCCAUUUCUGGUGCUUUCCACCCCGAAACAUUUUGCCAGCUACCAUCAAACCCUUUGGGAUCAUCAGACAGGUGCACCCAUGUGCACACAGAGGAAAGCUGGGCAAACCCUCCCUUCACCUCAUCCUACUGCUCUCCCCCCUCAAAAGAAUGAGUGUUGCAUGGUUGAAAAUUCCACCUUCGGAUGAAUGGAGAAGGAUCUUGGAAUAGAAGUGCAUCUGUUUCCUUUGGGAAGUCAGCUGAGCCACACUAAUGCACUGUCCCUAUGGCACCCUGCAUGUUGUAUGGCAGAAGGGGUUGGUGGACGUCCUGCAGGACACUGGUCUUUGACUGCUCCUAUCUCAGCCCAUCUAAACAAUAACCCAAGUCUUCCUGUGGUGUUGAAUGGCUUGCAAAUUAUGUGCUAUCAGAAGCAAGUCCUGAUAGUCCUGCAAUGCCAGGGCACGUGGCGUGGGACAGAUCUACAGUCUGAAGGGCUGACUUCAGUCCCUCACAGUGUUAAGAGCAAAGGCUGUAUCACAGCCAAAUGCAGAACAAGUCAGAGAUAACAAAGUCUGCAAAGAAAAGGCACCAGCCUGAUUUCACAACCCCUGUGGGUCCCAGUGGAGCCAUUCCAUAGAUGCAUGCGGGCAGCAGGCACCAGACAGACACAAUCCUGCAACCCUUUACUUACCCAUGGAGUCCCAUUCACUGCAGCAAUAACACUUCUGCAAAUGAUCUCUGUGCACCUCAGGGUUGCACAACCAGGCCAGGAAAUUCAGAGAAAAGUGGUACUCAUUGCUCUUAAAAUAGGCGUUUGCAAGAUGGAGGUCUCAACUUGAUCAGGUCAGCAUUGAUUUUCCUACUGUCUGCGUAGCCUCUAAAUGGCUCUUUGUCUCAUCCCAUGGUACUGGGGUGUCUAAGAAAGUAGAUUGGAUAGGGUAGGGUAGG